rnacentral:rRNA from 1 species
CAGGGGGCAGCAGUAAGGAAUAUUGGUCAAUGGACGCAAGUCUGAACCAGCCAUGCCGCGUGAAGGAUGAAGGUCCUCUGGAUUGUAAACUUCUUUUAUAUGGGACGAAACCCGGGAAUUCUUUCCCGAUUGACGGUACCAUAGGAAUAAGCACCGGCUAACUCCGUGCCAGCAGCCGCGGUAAUACGGAGGGUGCAAGCGUUAUCCGGAUUCACUGGGUUUAAAGGGUGCGUAGGAGGGUAGGUAAGUCAGUGGUGAAAUCUUCGAGCUUAACUCGGAAACUGCCGUUGAUACUAUCUAUCUUGAAUACCGUGGAGGUGAGCGGAAUAUGUCAUGUAGCGGUGAAAUGCUUAGAUAUGACAUAGAACACCAAUUGCGAAGGCAGCUCGCUACACAAAUAUUGACUCUGAGGCACGAAAGCGUGGGGAUCAAACAGGAUUAGAUACCCGUGUAGUCCG